UUGUAAUUUGGAGAAGGUGCUUCGGGUGCGACGGCGUUCCAAGUCCCCUGGAACAGGGCGUCACAGAGGGUGAGAGUCCCGUCCGGAUCGCGCGUCCAGCCCGUGUGAAGCCCUUUCGACGAGUCGAGUUGUUUGGGAAUGCAGCUCAAAAUGGGUGGUAAAUUUCAUCUAAGGCUAAAUACCGGCCGGAGACCGAUAGCGCACAAGUAGAGUGAUCGAAAGAUGAAAAGCACUUUGAAAAGAGAGUCAAACAGUACGUGAAAUUGUUGAAAGGGAAGGGCUUGCAGCCAGACUCGCACGCGGGGGCUCCGCCGCUCUUCGGGGCGGUUCACUCCCCCGCGAUCGGGCCAGCAUCGGUUUCGGCGGCCGGACAAAGGCCCUGGGAACGUAGCUCUCCUCGGAGAGUGUUAUAGCCCGGGGUGCAAUGCGGCCAGCCGGGACCGAGGACCGCGCUUCGGCUUGGAUGCUGGCGUAAUGGCUGCCAGCCGCCCGUCUUGAAACACGGACCGGUGAGUCACUCCCUACGUUUUCCAGCGCGCGCCUUCCUAUACAUCCUGGGUUAUACUAAUUAUUGCUUCAGAGGAGUCGACCAAUCAUGCGAGUCUGUGGGUGUCAAACCCCCGGGCGCAAUGAAAGUGAACGCAGGUGGGAGCCUCCGGGCGCACCAUCGACCGAUCUUGAUGUCUUCGGAUGGAUUUGAGUACGAGCACGGCUGGUCGGACCCGAAAGAUGGUGAACUAUGCGCGGAUAGGGUGAAGCCAGAGGAAACUCUGGUGGAGGCUCGCAGCGGUUCUGACGUGCAAAUCGAUCGUCAAAUCUACGCAUAGGGGCGAAAGACUAAUCGAAUCAUCUAGGUAAGCCCUCUGUGCCGACCCUCUACCUCUUUUUUUUUUUCUUCUAACGGAUUCUACAGUAGCUGGUUCCUGCCGAAGUUUCCCUCAGGAUAGCAGCAACGAGCAUGGAGUUUCAUGAGGUAAGAUACAUCCGGGAUCAAGAAAGUUAGGUGGCUGACCCUUGGAAAUUUAGGUAGAGCAACGAUCAGAGGCCUUGGGGCAAAAAUUGCCUUAACCUAUUCUCGAACUUCGAAUAUGUGAGACGUCCUUGUUACUUAAUUGAA
rnacentral:rRNA from 1 species